UACGGAAGGCAGCAGUGGGGAAUAUUGCACAAUGGGCGCAAGCCUGAUGCAGCCAUGCCGCGUGUAUGAAAAAGGCCUUCGGGUUGUAAAGUACUUUCAGUCGUGAGGAAGGUGUUAAGGUUAAUAACCUUAGCAAUUGACGUUAGCGACAGAAGAAGCACCGGCUAACUCCGUGCCAGCAGCCGCGGUAAUACGGAGGGUGCGAGCGUUAAUCGGAAUUACUGGGCGUAAAGGGCACGCAGGCGGUUAAUUAAGUUGGAUGUGAAAUCCCCGGGCUUAACCUGGGAAUGGCAUUCAAGACUGGUUAGCUAGAGUCUUGUAGAGGGGGUAGAAUUCCAUGUGUAGCGGUGAAAUGCGUAGAGAUGUGGAGGAAUACCGGUGGCGAAGGCGGCCCCUGGACAAAGACUGACGCUCAUGUGCGAAAAGCGUGGGGAGCAAAACG
rnacentral:rRNA from 1 species